GGCGACAUAACCGAGUGGUAAGGUAGAGGACUGCAAUUUUUUUUUUCAGUUCAAAUCCGGGUGUCGCCU
rnacentral:tRNA from 1 species